ensembl:lncRNA
AAACUAUUUAUUGUCUCACCAAUAAAACCCACAACAUAGAAGCACGUCCACUGCUGUGUUGUGUGUUAGUUUGUGUGUUCAGUGGAACAGAUCCAGAGCAGAACUUCAGGUUUAACUCGGGUUUGUUCUCAGAAACACUCAGACCCUCAGCAGCCUCCCAUCAGAACAUGCAGCACAUCAGCUUGAUUUGCUAAAAUACAUCGGAACAAACUGAGACCACGUUGUUUAAACUAGUCACUCAGAAAACUGUAAAAACUCGUUCAGUCAUCCACGUCCUAACCGUCAUUCAGAGCACUUUAACCACUGACAAUAUUUAUAAAAAAAAAAAAAAAAAAAGGGAAGUAAAGGGAUUUGAUCUGGUCAAAACAAACAAUGGUUUAUUCGUUCUACACAGGGAGCCAUGAGCACUUAUUGCAUGUAUUGAAGUGACUACAGUCAUAUAUGAAUGUUACAGCUACAGAUAUUCCUGUUGGACUCUGAAGAUAUUGUGCUGCCAUAUUUAUAUAUUUAGCCUACAUGUACUGAAAGGUGGAUUAGGAACAUGUCAUUAAAUCAGAUACUGUCAAACACCACAAUUCACAUUAGUCUUCCUCUGCGACAUCAUUAAAAGUAUCUUCUGCCAUUUCUAAACCAGCCAGGGUGUUUGGGAAGACACAAAUCACACAAAUAUAUUGUUUGUUUUGACCAGGUCGGAUCCCGUUACUUCCUUUAAAAAAAAAAAUAUUGUCAGUGGUUAACGUGCUUUGAAAUGAUACCCCCUGGCUCUUCUAAAAAAAAAAAAAAAACAAAACAACUGGCUUAAACGUUUAAUAUAUCACUUAGUCAUUUAUGCUACAAAAUGUUAUCAAAAAAAAAUCUCACAGGUGUAAAUGUCUCACUCUCCUAACCUACACUCCCCACUGGAGAACCCCCUCCUCCUUCUACAUUUCUCUCUGUCCCUCUCUAUAUGUCUCCCUUUAGCCCUCUCCCCCUCUCACACACUCACCCCCCACACUCUCACUCACACUCUAUGUACCCCCCAUGUUUAUUGUGCUUGUAUGUUUUAUAAUGUGUUUGUUGAUAGUUUUCCAGGCAAUGAUGUGCUAUUAUAUAAUGUAUAUAUAGAUCCUGACCUGCUGUAUACAUCUCUCUCCAACACCCACAGCUCACAGACAGCAACAGACAGCUCACAAGGACACACACAGAUGUUAUAUUAUAUUGCUACAUACUCAGUGACAGAACAUCUUCUCUCUCUAUGUUCAAGUUUAAUAUCGUAGCCUGGAAUGUUCAUGGCAUACGCUCACAAACAAAAAGAGUUAAAAUCAUGGACUAUGUCUCUAAAUUAAAAGCAGAUAUUUUGCUCCUCCAAGAAACGCAUUUACUACAGUCGGAAGAAAAAUGUUUAUCAGACUCGAAUUAUAGUAUUAUCUUU